rnacentral:lncRNA from 1 species
GGUGUGUAUAAGUAUGUACACUGUACAAUAUUUAAAAUGAUAGUGAAACAACUUACGAAUGCAUAUAUAUAUAUAACAUUUAAAGAAUGUUUUACAACAGACAUGCACAAUGACUAUAUGACAAGUCCUUCUUCUCCUAUCUGUUUUAUUAUCUUCUUUAGAUAAAUUCUUUCUUGAUUGGCAAAUCAUAUGAAUGAAAUCUAUCAAUAUUCAAUUAUGAGAACAAUUACAUAAAAAU